rnacentral:rRNA from 14 species
NUUGUCGGCGAGUUUGAUCCUGGCUCAGGACGAACGCUGGCGGCGUGCCUAAUGCAUGCAAGUCGAACGCAUUCUUCGGAAGGAGUGGCGCACGGCUGAGGAACACGUGACUAACCUACCCCGGUGUGGGGGAUAACGGGUCGAAAGACUCGCUAAUCCCGCCAUACGAUNGCCUCGGCGGAGGAAAGCCGUAAGGCGCACUGGNNGGGGGUCGCGUCCCAUUAGAUAGUUGGUGUGGUAAUGGCGCACCAAGUCGAUGAUGGGUCUCUGGUCUGAGAGGNCGACCAGACAGAUUGGGACUGAGACACGGCCCAAACUCCUACGGGGNGCAGCAGCAAGGAAUUUUCGGCAAUGGGCGCAAGCCUGACCGAGCAACGCCGCGUGGAGGAUGACGGCUCUUGGGUUGUAAACUCCUUUUGGGGGGGACGAUAAUGACGGUACCCUCCGAAUCAGGCCCGGCUAACUACGUGCCAGCAGCCGCGGUAAUACGUAGGGGCCAAGCGUUGUCCGGAAUUACUGGGCGUAAAGCGUGNNUAGGCNGUCGAUGAUGUGCCGCGUGAAAGCGCCGGAGUAAUGCCGGCCAGGUCGCGGCAGACACGUUGACUAGAGGCUCGCAGAGGAACGUGGAAUUCCCGGUGUAGUGGUGAAAUGCGUAGAUAUCGGGAGGAACACCAGUGGCGCAAGCGGCGUUCUGGGCGAGACCUGACACUGAGCCACGACGGCGUGGGGAGCAAACAGGAUUAGAUACCCUGGUAGUCCACGCAGUAAACGAUGCAUACCAGGUGUGGGAUGGCGUUCGCGUCGUUCCGUGCCGCAGCUUACGCGAUGAGUAUGCCGCCUGGGGACUACGAGCGCAAGCUUAAAACUCAAAGGAAUUGNNNNNNNNNNGCACAAGNNNNNNNNNNNNNNGUUUAAUUCGACGCAACGCGAAGAACCUUACCUAGUCUUGACAUAGCACUGCAAGCUUCGGAAAUGAAGUUCGCCUUCGAGGGUGUGCUACAGGUGCUGCAUGGCUGUCGUCAGCUCGUGUCGUGAGAUGUUGGGUUAAGUCCCGCAACGAGCGCAACCCCUGUGAGGUGUUACAAGUGUCACCUCAGACUGCCGUUGUCAACAACGGAGGAAGGCGGGGAUGACGUCAAGUCCGCAUGGCCCUUACGACUAGGGCGACACACACGCUACAAUGGCUGGGAGAAUGCGCCGCGACCUGGCAACAGGCUGCGAAUCGAGAACACCAGUCACAGUUCAGAUUGGGGGCUGCAACUCGCCCCCAUGAAGGCGGAGUUGCUAGUAAUCGCCGGUCAGCAUACGGCGGUGAAUCAGUACCCGGGCCUUGUACACACCGCCCGUCACGUCAUGGAAGUGGGAAACACCUGAAGUCCGUGGCUAACCGCAAGGAGGCAGCGGCCGAGGGUGGGUCUCGUAACUGNNNNNNNNNNGUAACAAGNNNNNNNNNNNNGAAGNNNNNNNNNGAUCACCUCCUUUCU